CCUCCCUUUCCGGUAGCUGGGAACACACUAGUGUCACCACUCAGGCAUCUCCUUUGCCUUUGUUCACCAUAACUCUAAAAAUUUCUAUGUUGGGGCCUGGGCCAUCGCUCAACUGUCAGCUUGCUCACCUAGCAUGCAUGAGGCACUGGAUUCAAGCCUCGAACCACAUCCUGCAGCACCAGAGCUUCAGGUCCAAAGCACUGGUAUCAUCUCUGACUCAGGGCCAUGUUAGUCCUAGCCCCAGGAGCAACCCCAAGCAACAAGGCAGAAAACAGUGAAGAACCUCGUAUCCUUGCCCUUGCGCCUGGGUGUGUUCUGUGGAAUCUCUCAUGCAUGUAUGUCUGUGUGAGGGUGUCAGAAGAACUGGAACUAGAGCUGCAGAAAGUUAAUGAAAGGCAAUCCUGGCUCCACCAAACCUCAGACUGCUGCCUCUCAUCAGCAUGGCUGGAGAAUCCUGAGACUACAAUGCCUUCCUAUCCUCAAUGUGGCUAGAGUAUGAGACCCUGUUCCUGUCUUAAAUACCUCUCAUGAGUGUGAUUCCCAAGUGCUGAAAUCAUCUUUGUGUGAGCUGUUUCUCUUUAGGACUGGAUCAAUUUCAUGUUGUCAGUGUGGCCUUGAACUAACAGAGAUCCAUCUACCUCUUAAUCCUGAGUCCUGGGAUUAAAAGUGUGUACCACCACUGCCUGAUCUCUAUAGCUUGAGGCUAACUAUGCUUUCUGAAUCCU
rnacentral:lncRNA from 1 species